CGGGCGCAAGCCCGUAAAUAUGCACCCCGCGACGGUUGCCGUUCGCUGCUUGCAUGGCGCGGUUCUCGGCGUUCGACCGCGUUUCAUGGUCAACCGUCAAGCGGCUGCUGGAUGCCGAUUGCGAGCCGCGCGGGGUGCCCUCAUGAACUCUGAAGAGC
ncrna:unclassified sequences RT-2 RNA